GAAAAAUAACGCUGUGAUUUUGCCAAAAAUUAAAUACACGCACAACUUUUACAGUGAGCAGUCACCGAUAAGUCCCCAUCUUUCCUUUCAUCGCUCUCCAUUUUUCCCAAUACGCCAUGAAAAACCAGCGACCCACCAUUCUCUUUCUUCUCCUUCCUCAUUUUUCUCCCCCAAACGAGAAACCCCCUAAGCCCCGUAGCGGGCCGCCGUCUGCCGCCCUACUCAAGAAUCGGCCUAUUUUUCUCAUGGCUUAACCCGUGACUCCAAAGAAAUCAGCAAAAACAGUCCCAAAUCGGUAUAACAAACUAUUGUUGAUUUCAAAUCCUCCAUUAAUGGCUUGGAAAGAGCUGAGAUUUGGAGAUCUUUUUUUUUGUAAUUUGAAUUCAAAUUUCGUCCUCCCUCCUUCACGUUUUUUUUUUUUUUUUUUUUUAAUUUCGAAGUUGCAAAUCCGGUCUUUGAAGUCUGGAUUUGGCACCUAUAAAUAUGGUGUUUUCACCCCUAUGGAGGACAAGGUUCAAGAUUAGAGAGAAGCAAAAAAAAUUAGUGAGAGUUUUUUUCAGAUCAUAGGAAAACAAGAAAAAAUCAGCGAGAAAAAGCAAGUGAUUGAGGAGAAAACGGGCAGAAAUUUGUGAGGAAAAGAAAGGAAAUUUUCAAGUUACUGGUAUCGUUGGCUUUGUUUUAUAAUUUCUAGUCCAACCUUCAAGUCCCGUGGUUGAGUGAAUAGCGGCAGGAAAAACCUUGACGUCUAGCCCAAGUUUGCUGCACCAGGAAAGAUCGCAAAAUGAUGGGUAUAUGAACGUGUGGCCCUGUGCGGGUUUCAAUCGGUUUGAUUUUGUUGCUAUUUGUUCACACUCAAUAGGCAUGAUGUGGUUUAAAUUUUGUAUUGAUUAAAUUGUUACUCGAUGGAUGGAUAUGGAUUUUAAUUCUGAAUUUUUUUAUGUUGUAUUGGAUCAGUAAAUACGCGAUUAUGUUAUUUUUGAUUCAAAAUCAUAUUAGUGUUGGUGUUCUUUGUUUCGGGCUCGGGCUGCAGUAAAAUUUAAUGUCGUUUUUCAAUUUUUCUUUUUUUGGAUCUUCUUCUUUUAAAAAGAAAUGUAACGUUCCUUCAAAUUCCCUUUUCCAUAAUCGUAAUGAAGUCCGCUGAAAUUGUAUCAAGAUCCGGAUGGAAUGAUUGAAAUGUCGUUGGGAGUGUUCGGAGACAAGGACUUCAAACAUUUUUUAUUGUGUGACGGGUUGCGGUGGAAGAGAGAUUGUCAUUUGUUGACAAUGUCACGGGAAACAUUCUGGGGGGGACGUGUCCUUCCCUCACCUCGUACGAACGUAAAGCCCCCAUUAGUGAGUGUUGGAAGUUGGUUUCGUGAAUAUAGAUAGAGGUUUGAUUGGAUUAAUUUACAUUGUCAUAUUCCUGCACUUUGAAAGAAAUUUUUUUAAAUUGGGAGCUGCUCUUAAUUACCCUUGGGUAAAAAUGAUAACUUUGGCUGGAUAGUUUGAAACAUGGGAGGACUGUUGGUUUUUAUGUGCAUGAUCGCUCCAGUUGGAUGAAAAUUUGUUUGAGUUCAUAUUCAAUCUUAUUUACUUUGGACUGCACAACCAGGUCACCGAUUGCAUUAUUUUCAUUACUCGUUUAUAUCACUUAAAUUAGUUACUAAUCCUUAUUUCCUUUUAUCUUUUUAUGUGAACGCGGGAGUUGGAGUUCCAACGGAACUCAUUUUGACCCAACAUCGAGUUAAUCGCUACUAGAAUCGCAGACCUUCGGUAUUGCGUAUUCUUGAAAACUCAAGCCCGUUAGGAGUCUAGUAUCUCUUAGUCUCUUUUCUUUGUUUAAUAUCCGUGCUAUGUUGUUAUUUUUUUUGAAGACUCGAAACAGUAAUUAGUUAUGAUUGGUUAUUGGAAUUUUGUUGUUUAUUGUGUUUUUAUUGAUUAAGAGUUUGCAAUUUUCCAUCGAAAUAAAAUUAAUGUCCUUGCCUUUUUUCGCAAUUCUCGCAUGACUAGUUAAAAGGAUUUCUUCUUUAAAUAAAAGGAACUUUAACAAUAUUAAUAUUGGACUAAUUAUUUACUUUCCCAGUAAUAUUUAUUUAAAAUAACAAGCGUUACAAUCUCCACGUUUUCUUCGAAAAUUAAUAUUAUUUUUUAUGAAUAGCUAAAACUCAAACUUCACUUAGGGAUACUGUUUAUCAAUGUUCAUCAAUAUUAAAUACUGUUUAUCAAUGUUCAUCAAUAUUAAUCCAUUUGAAUAGACAAAAUUUUAUCAACACUUUACUUGGCUUUUAUUGUCCCCUUUUUUACUAUUUUCAAUUGUCUAGAUUUAAUUAAAAGGAAAAAUUCAAAAAAAGCUUUUACAAAAAAAUGGAAAGGUACAUGCCAUAUUUGUCUUUUUAACGGGUCGUUUGGUAAAGUGUAUAAGAAUAAUGCUGAAUAAGGUGUAUUAGUAAUGCUUGUAUUAUUAAUGUAAGUAUUAAUAAUGCUGGUAUUAUUUAUACAUACAUUAUCUUUUACGUAAUCUUUGGUUUGAUAUAUUAAAGAUAAUAUAUAUUUAUAUAAUUUUUAUAAAAGUAUGUUUGUUUACCAAAUUACCCUUCCUUAGUCCUUCCUUGAAUUCUUCCUUGUAUGUUGUAUUUUCACCCGUGCAAGACUAGCAGUAGUUAUACUCUGGAGAAAUGGAAAAUCUACUUUUCAUUUCUUCUCUGAAUUCAAAAAUUCUGACAAUGAAAUCAAAGGAAUUGUAGCUGGAAAAGGGAAGAACUCAGAAAAUAAAAAUAAUCAAGUGGAAUAGCCCUUACAGAGCUGAAAUAGUUGAAAAAAUAGGUGGAUUUCGAAAGAUGGAGUUUUAUUAAAGCCACCGCAUCGAUUGAGGAAGAAAAAGAUAGAUGGGUUUACUCUAUACACGAAAGAGGAGUUGGGUAUUAGGAAGUCUAAUGUUCGAGGUACCCACUUUAACUUUUGAUUGUAAUUGUUGUUUUUAGUUGUGUUGGGAUACAAAGAAAUCAUUGGCCACAUAUGUAUUUCAUAUUAUCUAUUGGUUAUGCAUCUACUUGUUUCCGAUAAGGAGGAGAAAGAUCGUUACUUCUUAAAAAUAAAGAAUGAUUCUGCAAGAUCUUGUUAAAUUUUGAUCUUGUAUUUGACAUGUUUUGUGAAUUGGUAAUGGGAGUUGCAAGAUAGAGUUGCAAAGGCGAAGGAUCGUAAUAAUAAGAUCAUUAAGAUUCGCAGGGAGAUAGUAGACUUCCAUGGGGAGUGUGUUUUGCUGAAAAUUAUAGUGCCCUCAACUAUGUUCAUAAUUUCGAGUUCUUUCUCAACUAUGCUCAUAAUUUUGAGUUCUUUCUUUGAAUGUGAAAAUUAGUUACACCUUAGAAUUUUACGGGCGCCUCUAAGAAGUCUCUGUAAAUGCGCAAGACUUAACAUUUCAGGCUUUUGUUGUACUUUUGUAUCUACUGUGAUUGUCUGAUUAUUGUGCACCAAGAUGGUGACUUCAUAAGUCACUUUAUAAUCUCAUAUGUAGCGAUGAGCAUUGACAGAUGUAGCUCUUUGGCAAUGGGUUCAUCUCAAGUUCUUUCAAUGUGGUCUAUACAUGAAAUAUUUGUAAACCGGCUAUAAUUUCAACUAAUAUUACAUCUAAAUCCAUAAUAUUAUUUGUACGAGUUCAAUGCUAAAAACCUUAAAGAUCGAACUUGAUUCGGUGAUGAUCCAAUCUGAUCUAUUUUUAUUUUAUCUUAUAUCUUAUUAGUGCAGACUGUUAGAUGGGGUCAGCUAUGCCUUUGAGGUGUUGCCGAUGAGUAGAUUCUUCUGCUCUGGCUCGAGAAUGUUUUCUAGGUAGUCAUUUAAUUCAUUUCUGCUAUGGCAUCAAUAGCUUGGAAAAAGAGAAAAGGUUGUCUCGGGUAUUUGUGUGUUGAAAUAAUUUUCUUCCUCACUCUUCACAUUUGAUCAUUCUGAAUGUUAGUGUUAUCAUUGAACGAUGAAUAUGCUGCAAAUUUCACGUUCUUACGAGAGUACCUUUCCCUUUCCUAAAAUACAGGGAUUAGCAGUGUCUAUGGAUUCUUCGCUGCUGCUUUCCUAAAAUACACUGCUGCUUGCAGUGUCUCUAGAUGCUUCUCCUAACUUCUAUUUGCUUAGUUUUAUGUUAGCUUUUAACAUAUGUUUCCUUCCUUCUUUCUUUCGUCUAUACAGAUGAGUGGGAUUUUCCUUAACCAAAUUCAGAAGGUGGAGAAGAAAAUCGGAUUGUGAUUAUUGCAAAGAGGUGCAUCAUCCCCUCUGAGUUGAGCUAUAUUAGAAAUAACAUCUUCGCCUUAUUGUAUUAGUACUGUUUACGCUCGCUCUUUACUUUCAGUUUUUUCAUGCCUUCAAAGUGAAAUGGUGCUUUAAGAUUUCUCUGGUGAUUGAUACAUUGAGUCGCGAAAGGAAAUUUAGGUUAGUCAUUUGGUCUAUUCAAUAUUCCUACCAAUUUAGUUUUGGAAAGGACUACUUUUAUCCAAAAUUAGAUGGAAAGAUUCUUUUAGCUGAAUAAUCUAUGUACUUCAAAAACUAUCUUGAAGUAGGUAUUCUGGAGUUCUACACCAGUUUUGGCUUGCC